GCCAAUGUGGUGUAGUGAUUUAAGUGUUGGACUACAACUCUAGAGACCAGGGUUUGAUUCCCAGCUUGGCCA